GGUAACUCGUGCUCUUCUUUUUCACAUGAAAGUUUCUAAACAUUUUUGGACGGAUGUAGUUUCUACGGCAUGUUUUUUUUAUCAAUCGUAUGCCGUUUUCUGUCCUUAAUGGAGAUAUUUCUUAUACUGCUUUUUUUCCUAUAAAAUCUUUGUUCCCUGUUGAAUCCGGUAAUUUUUAUUGUACCUGUUUUGUGUGUGAUGU
rnacentral:misc_RNA from 1 species